CAGUGCCUGCUCUCACCUGGUCAGAUUAAGUUCAAGCUCAAACUGAAAUUGUAAGCAAUGGCGGAGAACGGACAGCAACCAAAAUGCCCCACCACUGCCCACGUCAAAGGGAUGAAAUAAGAAGACUGACGAAGAAAAGAGGUGUUUGAAGAAACAAUUGGACCGAGCCAGAGAGAAAACAAGGAUACAUAUUGGAGCGUUAUCUCAGAGGUGGAGGGAGCUGCGGGAUUUCGAAGGACUCGAGUGUUGCAGAGCUGGCCGCUUUUCUGCUGGACAGGUGGUGGCUGGUUCCAGAUCCCGUGGGUUGCGAGUUCGGGGGCCUCCUUGGAUUGGACUUGCGUCAUUGCCCCGAGGUCGGUGGACGAGGGGUAGGUGCAAGGUCUAGUCGCGUGUCAGGCUGACAGCCCUCCUGAAGGUUUAUGGAGAUGCCUCACAAACGGCAUGUCAAC